rnacentral:rRNA from 1 species
CACGUGAAACCCUGUGGGAAGCAGGAGGGACCAUCCUCCAAGGCUAAAUACUACUUAGUGACCGAUAGCGCAUAGUACCGUGAGGGAAAGGUGAAAAGAACCCCGGGAGGGGAGUGAAAUAGAACCUGAAACCCUGCGCUUACAAGCUGUGGAAGCACUUUAUAUGUGUGACCGCGUACUUUUUGUAGAACGGGCCAACGAGUUACGAUAGUAAGCUAGGUUAAGUACUUAAGGUAUGGAGCCGUAGUGAAAGCGAG